UAGGUAAGGUGUAGUGGUGGAGGGGUGUUGGAUAGAUAAGGUGUAGUGGUGGAGGGGUGUUGGAUAGGUAAGGUGUAGUGGUGGAGGGGUGUUGGAUAGGUAAGGUAUAGUGGUGGAGGGGUGUUGGAUAGGUAAGGUGUAGUGGUGGAGGGGUGUUGGAUAGGUAAGGUAUAGUGGUGGAGGGGUGUUGGAUAGGUAAGGUAUAGUGGUGGAGGGGUGUUGGAUAGGUAAGGUAUAGUGGUGGAGGGGUGUUGGAUAGGUAAGGUGUAGUGGUGGAGGGGUGUUGGAUAGAUAAGGUGUAGUGGUGGAGGGGUGUUGAAUAGAUAAGGUGUAGUGGUGGAGGGGUGUUGGAUAGAUAAGGUGUAGUGGUGGAGGGGUGUUGGAUAGGUAAGGUGUAGUGGUGGAGGGGUGUUGGAUAGAUAAGGUGUAGUGGUGGAGGGGUGUUGGAUAGGUAAGGUGUAGUGGUGGAGGGGUGUUGGAUAGAUAAGGUGUAGUGGUGGAGGGGUGUUGGAUAGAUAAGGUGUAGUGGUGGAGGGGUGUUGGAUAGAUAAGGUGUAGUGGUGGAGGGGUGUUGGAUAGGUAAGGUGUAGUGGUGGAGGGGUGUUGGAUAGGUAAGGUAUAGUGGUGGAGGGGUGUUGGAUAGGUAAGGUGUAGUGGUGGAGGGGUGUUGGAUAGAUAAGGUGUAGUGGUGGAGGGGUGUUGGAUAGAUAAGGUAUAGUGG